GAUGAAGAACGUAGCGAAAUGCGAAAAGUAAUGUGAAUUGCAGAAUUCAGUGAAUCAUCGAAUCUUUGAACGCACAUUGCGCCCCCUGGUAUUCCGGGGGGCAUGCCUGUCCGAGCGUCAUUGCUGCCCUCAAGCACGGCUUGUGUGUUGGGCCUCCGUCCACCUCCCGGGGGACGGGCCCGAAAGGCAGCGGCGGCACCGCGUCCGGUCCUCGAGCGUAUGGGGCUUCGUCACCCGCUCUUGUAGGCCCGGCCGGCGCUUGCCGACACAUCAAUCUUUUUUCCAGGUUGACCUCGGAUCAGGUAGGGAUACCCGCUGAACUUAAGCAUAUCAAUAAGCGGAGGA
rnacentral:misc_RNA from 1 species